GACGAACGCUGGCGGCGUGCCUAACACAUGCAAGUCGAACGGAACUGUUUUGAAAGAUUUCUUCGGAAUGAAUUUGAUUUAGUUUAGUGGCGGACGGGUGAGUAACGCGUGAGUAACCUGCCUUCAAGAGGGGGAUAACAUUCUGAAAAGAAUGCUAAUACCGCAUGACAUAUCGGAAUCACAUGGUUUUGAUAUCAAAGAUUUUAUCGCUUGAAGAUGGACUCGCGUCCGAUUAGUUAGUUGGUGAGGUAACGGCUCACCAAGACCGCGAUCGGUAGCCGGACUGAGAGGUUGAACGGCCACAUUGGGACUGAGACACGGCCCAGACUCCUACGGGAGGCAGCAGUGGGGGAUAUUGCGCAAUGGGGGCAACCCUGACGCAGCAACGCCGCGUGAAGGAUGAAGGUUUUCGGAUUGUAAACUUCUUUUAUUAAGGACGAAACUUGACGGUACUUAAUGAAUAAG
rnacentral:rRNA from 1 species